AGAACCUUACCAAGGCUUGACAUACACCGGAAACGGCCAGAGAUGGUCGCCCCCUUGUGGUCGGUGUACAGGUGGUGCAUGGCUGUCGUCAGCUCGUGUCGUGAGAUGUUGGGUUAAGUCCCGCAACGAGCGCAACCCUUAUCCUGUGUUGCCAGCGCGCCCUUCGGGGUGGCGGGGACUCACGAGGAGACCGCCGGGGUCAACUCGGAGGAAGGUGGGGA
rnacentral:rRNA from 1 species